UGGGUGUACAGAAGAUUUUUUUUGUGUUUCCGUCAGAGAGGUUACUUCUUCAAUGGAUUGGGGAACUCCUUGUGUAUUAGUUGGAGGUUUGUUUUGACUUAAUUCUUUUUCUGCAAAUGUUUGUAUUUGCUUAGGAGAUUCUAGGUUGGGAAAGGGUAACACAGGUGAAUUUACAAUAAGUGAGUUUAUUGUUUCAUCCAAAGAACUCUCUGUGUAAUCUGAAACAUUUGGUUCCUUCUUGGGUGUUUCAAGCAAUUUUUCGGAGAGUUUGUGGUUUUCAUCUUUUGGCGUGGAUAAAUAUGGUUUAGGGAUGUUAGAACUUUUUAUAUUUUCUUUGGGCCCUUGUGGUGGGUUUGAACGUUCUUCUGGUUGAGUAUUGUUAAUGGGAGUUGAAAUUUGUUUGUCCUCAUUGAAAUUUUUUGUAUAUAUAAAUGGUUUUGAUGUGUAUGCCAUUGAAUUAAGUUUUUGUUCAAAGGGUUGAGGAUCUUCUUGUCUAAAAUGAGCUUCCAUUUUAGUUGGUUCAGAUGGAGAUUGACCAAAUACUUUUUCUAUAGUUGUUUGUACAUUUUUAGGAGGAUCGGAUUGAAAAGUUGAUAUUGGAGUCGGUUUCAUGGUAUCUAAGGUUUGUACUUGUUGGAAGGGUUGAGACCCUUCCUGUAUCAAAGAAGGUUUUGCCUGAUCUUUUUGAGAAGAAGAUUCAUCAAGUAUUUCUUCUAUCAGUUCUGCUUUGGAUGUGAGUGAGUGACUUAAUUUCAUUGUUGAAGAAAUGAUUUCAUCUGCAGAACUUUUCAAAAUCCUUUGAACUUGUUGUUUCUGCAUGUAUGGUUCAGUUGAUGGUUUGCUGAAUUGAUUAGGUUCGUCAUCUAGUUCGGGUAAAAAGGACGGUUGGCUAGUGUUUGAUUCUUCCUUUUUAUAAAAGUUCUUAAGUUUAGAAGGUUCAGAUUUAAUGUCGGUUGGGUCAAUACCUGCUUCAGUACUGGGGACAAUUAUUGAUUGUGGAGUUGAGACUUCCUUCUUCUCUAGGGGUUCUUCUUCAGGUUUAGGAAUUCCUGAUUGGGUAGCUAUCGGGGAAAUCUGUACUCGUUGGAGGGGCUGGAACCUUUCCUGAUUCAAAGGGGUUUCUGCUUGAUUCUGCUGAGAAGCAGCUUCACCAAGAAUUUCUUGUAUUGGUGUUUUCAUUUGUGUUUUUUUAGAUAGGGGUAGUGUUUCCAAAGUAUUUUUCGGCAUUUUGGAGACAUCUUGUUCAACUGGGAUUGAGUCCUUAUCCAAUUUAGAUGGUUUGAUGGUUUGUUUUUGAAGUGCUGAAGUUUUUUUCUCUAUGAAACUUUGAACAGGUUGUGGAUUUUCUUGUUGGUUACUCAAGAAAGUUGACAAUUCCGAUGGUGAAUUAACCUCUUUUUGAGUAUAUUGAAGAGUGGAAUCAAGAAAGUUUGUGGCUUCUUUUUCUUCCAUUUUUCUAUCUACAGAUUUCACACCUUGUGGUAAAUCACUAAGUGCAUUGGUUGCUUCUGACAUCACUUUGGUUUCUUUUAGGGGUUCUUGUAAUCUUGGGUUUUGAAAAUCCUGGUUUAUUAAUGGUUCUGAAAUCUUAAGUGUCUCUGGAUGAGACAUUUGUGAAAAAUCAUUUAUUAAGGGUUGAUUUGCUCUAUCCUCCUGUAUUGCUAAUGUGGGUGGUUUACCAGUCUUCGAUCCUUCUCCCUUUUCAUCAGUUCCUUUUAUAUCUUUAGAAGAUCCAGAUUUAAUAUUCAUUGGGUAAAUUUCUGGUUGAGUUUUCCGAAUAAGAAUUGAUUGUGGAGUUGAGGUUUCGUUCUUCUCCAUAGAUUCUUCUGCAUUUGUAGGGAAUCCUGGUGAUGUGUCUAUCAGUGAGCUCUGUACUUUUUGGAGGGGUUGGAAUAAUUUCUUGGUCAAAGGAAUUUCUGUUUGAUCCUGUCGAUAAACAGAUUCACCAUGUAUUUCUUCUACAGGUUUUUCUGCUUGCUUAAAAGGUUCUGAUUGGGAUGUGGGUAAAUGACUUGGUUUCAUUGUAGAAGAACUUAUUGUAUAUUCAUCCAACCUCUCCGUAUCCUUUGGAACUUGUUGCAUUUGCUUGUACGAAUCACUUGCUGGUUUGAAGUGUGGUUGAUUAGCUCCAUCAUUUGGUGUGAGUAAAAAAGGUAAUCUAGUCUUUUCUAAUUUUUCUCCAUUUUCAUUGGUUCCAGUUAUAGCUUUUGAAGGCUUAGAAUUAAUAUUCAUCAGGUUUAUCUCAGGUUGAGUAGUGGGAAUGAUAAUUGAAUCUAGAGUGGAUGUUUCCUUCUUCUCUAGGGGUUCUUGUGCAGGUUUUAGAUAUCUGUUAUCUAUCGGUAAACUUUUUUUUUGUUGGAGUUGAAAUCCUUCCUGAAUCAAAGGAGCUUCUGUUUGAUAAGAAGAUUCACCAAGUAUUCCUUCUACCGGUGUUUGUGCUUGCCGAGAUAAUUCUGUUUGGGAUGUGGGUAAGUGACUUGAUUUCAUUGCAGUAGAAAUGAUUUCAUCUACAGAGCUUUUCACAAUCCUUUCAUCUUGUUGUUUCUGCAUGUAUGAUUCAGUUGAUGGUUUGAUGGAUUGAUUAGUUCCGUCAUCUAGCUCAUCAGGUAAAAGAGGUGGUUGUCUAGUGUUUGAUUCUUUCUUUUUAUAAAACUUCUUAAGUUUAAAAGGUUCAGAUAUAACGUCGAUUGGAUAAAUACCUGCUUCAGUACUGGGUAUAAUUAUUGAUUGUGGAGUUGAGGCUUCCUUCUUCUCUAGGGGUUCUUCUACAGGUUUAGGAAAUCCUGAUUGGGUAUCUAUCGGGGAAAUCUUUACUCGUUGGAGGGGUUGGAGCCUUUCCUGAUUCAAAGAGGUUUCUGCUUGAUUGUGCUCAGAAGCAGCUUCACCAAGCAUUUCUUGUAUUGGUGUCUUCAUUUGUGUUUGUUUAGAUGGUUCUUCUUGGGAUGUGGGUAUGGGACUUGGUUUCAUUGUUGAAGAAAAGGUUUCUUCUACAGAACUUUUCACAAUCUCUUGACCUUUAUGUUUCUGCAUGUCUGAAUCAUUUGAUAGUUUGAAUGAUUGAUUAGCUCUGACAUCUUGCGUAGGUAAAAGGGGCGGUUGGUUAUUGUUUAAUUCUUCCCUUUUGUCAAACUUUGUAAGUUUAGAAGGUUCGGAUUUAAUGUCAGAUGUGUCGAUAUCUGCUCCAGUACUGGGAAUAAUUAAUGAUUGUGAAGUUGAGACUCUCUUCUUAUCUAGGGAUUCUUGUGAUGGUUUGAAGGAGUGUAUAGCUUCAUUUUCAGGUGUUGGUAAAAGAGGUAGUUCACUAGUGUUUGGAUCUUCCUUCUUUUCAUCAAGUGGUUUGGGAGAUCGAGGAGAUUUUGCUUGUGUAGGUAGUGGUAGUUUUUCCGAUGUAUUUUUCAGAGGUCGGGGGACGUCUUGUUCAACUGAUAUUGAAUCCUUUGGUAAUUUAGAUGGAUCGAUGAUUUGUUUUGGAGGGGUUGAACUUUUUUUCUCUGUGAAACUUUGAACAAGUUGUGAACUUUCUGGUUGUUUACCCAUGAAAGUUGGUAAUUUCGAUGGUAAAAUAACUUCUUUUUGCGUAGAUUGAAGAUUAGAAUCAAGAAAGUAUGUGGUCUCUUUCUCUUCCAUUUGUCUUUCUGCAGAUUUCACAUCUUUUGGUAAAUCUCUAAGUGUAUUGGUUUCUCCUGGCAUUACUUGGGUUUCUUUUACUGGUUCUUGUGAUUUUGAAUUUUGAAAUUUCUGGUCUAUUGGCGGUUCUGAAAUCUUAAGGGUGUCUGGGUGACUCAUUUGUGAAGAUGUAUUCAUCGAAGGAUCAAGUGGCUUCUGAUGGAUGGUUUUUGCUUUUGAUUCAGAUACAUUAGUAUUUUCCAAUAUAAAAUCAUUUUUCUUUUUUUCAAGGUAGUAUGAGAAUUCAGUAUCUUUUGAAUCUUGAUCUGAAAGAUCAUUUUGUGGCUGAGGUUGUAUGUCUGGGUAAUGCAAUGAUUCCUGAGUUUCUGAUUCAACUGAUUUGGGCACUUUCUUAAAAAGAACUAAUUGAGAGGCUACAGGAAGAGUUUUUCUUUCUCUCUUUUCCUGGGAUCCGUCUGACACUGGUUUAUCUUGUGGAUUCUUAUCAUUCAAGUUCGUUCCAUUUUCCUCAGUAUCCUGUGACAUUGGAGUCUCUGUUUCACUCAGCUUUGGAUCAAACUCGGUCAUUUUAUCUAAAUAUUCUAUGGACUGGGUAUCUUUUGAUUCGUGAUAUUGGAUUCCAAUUUUUGUUUGAGAUGAUCGAAGAUCCUUGGAUUGGGAAUCUGGAUCAAAAGGUCGAAAAAGAUUCUGAGUGAAUUCUUUUUCGCUUUCUUUUUGUCCAUUCUGCAAGGGUUCUAAUUUAUGUGUUUGUGAAUCUAAUGAUUGUUCAAAAGGCUCUAUAUUUUUUAGUUCAGGCUUUUGAAAUUCUAUUCCUUGAGCAUUUCUGAUAAGUUGUGGCUGGUCAUAACCAUGAUCAUCUGAUUCAUUGAUGCUUCCAAUAAAUUGUUCUAUGUUUCCUUGUGAGGGUUGUGGAGAUUCUAUCUUGUGAUAGGGUGUGUCUGAAGAUAGAUAUUUAUGAGGAUCUACAACAGUUGGUUGUUGAGAUGGAGUAAUUUUCUUUUGAAAUACAUGUUGGGGAGAUGUCUUGAUGGAUAUUGGGAAUUCAUUAGUUUCUUGCGUUGGAAACUUUGGUUUAGUUGUCGGAGUUGUUUCUUCAGGAAUAACAGGUGUUAUCUUUUCCCCAUUCUGCAUUGAAGGAUUUGAGAAUGGUUGGGGAUUCAACAAAAUUGGUAAUUUUGUCGAAAUAACUUUCUUAUGAGUCGGAUCAACAAAGUCUGUAGCAUUUUUUUCUUGUCCAAAAACUUGUGCAGUUUUUCUUUCAUGAUUAUAUAGUUCAAAGUGAGUUGUUUCAGCUAAUGUUUCCAAUGAUUUUUGUUCAGGAACAGAUAGCGAUUGGCUAGUAGGUUCAAGGCUAGCUGUUUCUGGAGAUUUCGGCUUAUCAAAAAAAUUAUUUUCCUUUGAUUCUUCUACAAGAUAAGAUUUAUCUUGUGCUGGUAAUUUUAUCUUACUAGAUGGUUUAUAUAGCCUAUUAUCUUCUUGAUGUAUAAACUUAGGUUUAUCUAGUUUGAAGGGUUCUAGGUUACCAUGUGAAUGUUGUGAAGGCUCUAGUUCAUGAGGGUCACUUUUGUAUGAUUUUUCAUGGGGUCUACGAGCAUCUAAUUCAUGAGCUUGGGAUUCAAGUAGUUCAUCUUCUAUCUGAAGAUACUCUAAUUGAGUAAGUUUAUGGGAAGCUGUUAAAUCCUGAAGAAUUAAGUUCUCUCUCUUUUUCUCAGAUUCUUGAGAUGGUGGUUGGUCUAUUGAUUUUUGAUGGCUUAUUUCAACUGUUGGUUCAGAAAAGUUUGAAUCUUCUUCAGAUAUAACUGAAGGAAUGGUUGUUCCUAAAGGAUAAAGAUCAUCUACAUUAUUUUUGUUUAUAUAUUUUAUAAUUUGGAUAUCUUCCGAAUCAAUGUCUUGAAUAUCAUUUUUUAUUUCAGAAGACUGGAGAUAUGCUUUAGAUUUUGGUUCAGGAGAAUUAAGUGAUUGAUUGAGGGGUUCUGAGAGGGUAUUCUUAAGCAGAAAAUGUUCAGGAGGGCUUAGGUCUGCUCUUUUUUCUUUGCUAUCUUGUGAUAGAAAAGGAUCGAGUGGCUUACACUCACUUGUUCUAUCUUUGUGUUUAUGUAUCUUUGAAUUUUCUUCUUUUGGUAAAUUUAAAUAAGAAAUCAUCCCAGGUUCUUCUGAUAUAAACUCAUUCUUCUUUUUCAUCAGAUUGUCUGUGAUUUCAGUAUUUUCUGCAUUAGGAUAAGUAAGAUCGUUUUUUGCUUUAGGAGAUUGAAGGGCAUUUAGUUGUUUUGAUGGUGUGUUGGUUUCUAAUUCAACUGGUGCAGGUAAUGGUUUAGAAGAUUCUAACUGGGCACUCUUAGAGAGAUAGGUGGACUGUGAAAGAUUACGAUUUUCUUUCUUUUCCAUGUAAUUCUGGGAAAAUUGAUUGUCUUGUGCUUUCUUAUGACCAAAUUUCUCUUUUUUCUCUCCAGAAUCACGUCUAAAGACAUGCACAGGUGGUUUUUGAUGGUUAGUUUCAUGUUUUGGUCCAAUCGGUUCUAAAUCUUCCUUUUGAGGAACAAUCGAAGGAUGGAUUUUUCUAGAAGGAUUAAACUCAUCCAUUUGAUCCAAUAAAUGUAUGAACUGGCUAUCUUCUGAUUUUGGGUAAGGGAGAUCAUCUUUUGUUUGAGAUAGUUGAAAAUCAUUGGGCUGGGAAACUGAAAUGGAAGGGUUAAUAGGGGUAUGGGCGAAUUCUUUUUUUAAAUGUUCAUCCAGUUGAUCGUGAGUGUUGGUUUCUUGUACAUGUGAAGAUAGAUCAAUUGAUGGUUUAGAUACACUAACUUGUGUUUCUGGUGGAAUGGAUGAUCUUUGUUUAAGAUUCAUUGUGUGUAAUGUGUUUCCUUCAGGAAUCCCUGUUUUUCCAGGGUGUGGAACUGUUGGUUGUUUUGUGUAUGGGACAUAUUCUGAUUGGGUAGGCAUGAAUAGAGCUAAUUUAGAUGAGGUUUCUUUUGUAGAGUUUUUUGAGGGAGGCUCUUGAGAUUGUUUGGUAGGUUGUGGUUGAUCAAAACCAUGUAUGGCGCUAGUAGAGUUUUCUAUGUUUUCUUGCGAAGGUUUUGGAGAUUCUUUCUUAUAAUAGGAUGUACCUGGUUCAAGAGGGACUGGAAAUGUUGGAUUUUGGUUGGAAUUUUCUUUUGUACGAAGCUUUGGUUCAGUCGUAGUAUUUUCUACAGGAGUGGCAGUGAUCUUUUGUAUGUGCUGUAUUGAAGAUGUGGUAGGUUCUAAUUUAUAAUAUUUGGUCUCUGGUGGCACUUUUUGGGAAUAAAAAAUAUGUGAUUGGCUGACUUCAUCUUCUAUAUUUUUUUUUGUCUUAUGCAAAUGUUCCGGCAAAUUUGAUUCUGGAUGCAUUGAUGCUUCAUAGAAUUCAUAAGUUUCCCAAUUAGGCAUGUGAACAUGUGGUAUGGAUGUUGCAAUUUUUCCUGAUGGUUUUGGUUGAAUUUUCUUUUUAUGAGUUGGUGGUGGGCUUUUUUGUGGGUUAAAUGUUGGAAUAUCUAUUGGUUGUGUAUGCACAAUUGGUUCUGUUUUUGGACUUUCUAUUUCAAGAAAAGGUAUCUCAGGUAGAUCAUGGGGAUUGCUGGGUUCUAUUUCUAUGGUGGGUUUGUUGGAUGGUGAGAUAAUUUUAGAUUGAGGAAUAGGCAGAGGAUCAUGUCCAAAAGAGAUUGGAGAUAUUGACCUUUUCAGAGGGUUUUCCUCUAGUUGAUCAAAAUGCACGUUGGAUUGUCUAAAGGCUUCUGUUUGAUGAGACAUUCGUGGGGAGGCUACUUUUGAAGAUUUUGUACUUUUUUUCUUUUUCUUGUGUUUUUUUGGUGAUUGGAAGGUUUCUGGUUUAUGAAGGGAAAAAUAUUGUUGGUGAUCUUUAAGUUUAGAUGGGCUAGAGAUAUGAUCAUCAAUUGACAAUUCAGUGAUUUUUGCAGGAUAAACUUGGGAUUUACGAGAGACGAUACCUUUAGAAGAAGAGCUGACAAGAGAAGGCCUUCCUUCGUUCACAACUUGAUCGAUUCUCUGAAUUGUUUGGAGCCAUGAUUCCCGUUGAGAUAUUUUCUUCCACCAUUUU
rnacentral:lncRNA from 1 species